CCUACGGGGGGCAGCAGUGGGGAAUAUUGCGCAAUGGGGGAAACCCUGACGCAGCGACGCCGCGUGAGCGAAGAAGGCCUUAGGGUCGUAAAGCUCUGUUUUAGGGGACGAAUGUCGAGAGCAGUAAUAUGGUUCUCGAAUGACGGUACCCUAAGAGGAAGCCCCGGCUAACUACGUGCCAGCAGCCGCGGUAAGACGUAGGGGGCGAGCGUUGUCCGGAAUUACUGGGCGUAAAGAGCACGUAGGCGGGACUUUAAGUCAGAUGUGAAAGACCGGGGCUCAACCCCGGGGUUGCAUUUGAAACUGGAGUUCUUGAGGGCAGGAGAGGGCAGUAGAAUUCCUGGUGUAGCGGUGAAAUGCGUAGAAAUCAGGAGGAAUACCAGUGGCGAAGGCGACUGCCUGGACUGACCCUGACGCUGAGGUGCGAAAGCGUGGGUAGCAAACAGGAUUAGAUACCCGAGUAGUC
rnacentral:rRNA from 1 species